UUUGUGACUUUCAAAGCGGAAAGAAAGCCCGUGUUGUACGUGUCUUGAAAAUUGAGGCAUGUUGGAUUUGAGAUCAAUUUGAGGACUCCCGCACGCAAACAUGUAUGUCUGAUAUUCCUGUCCAGCUGUCAAGAAGAGAUGCGACCGAGAGCCGCAUUAAUAUUCAUAGCAAAUCAUUUUGAAAUGGUUAAGAAAACGAUGGGAUCAGGAAUGAGCUCUUUAGUUCAUCAGGGUUCAUUAGUCUCGGGCAACUGAAUUCUCAAACCGUUGAACAGGGGAAGCAACCUUAUCGAUCUCCAAAGUACUAAGAGGCUACAAGUCUAUUUGCUGACAGCCGACUUCAUUGCAUUCUAUCGCAGAGGCUACAAGUCGAUUUGCUGAAAGCGGACUUCAGUGCAGUCUAUCGCAG